ACUAGCUCGCAACCGAAAUCCUUGCCGUCGGUGCUGCAUGUGGAUCAGCGUGAGCCUAGCCCACAUGGCCCACCCGAAUAUCCGCGUUUCCAAUGUCCCAGCACUAUACGAAGCUGAUACAAUCAAAUCGUAUCUGGUGAGCUACCUAUGCGGACUAGCCUAGCUCGUACCCGCCUAAUGGAACGAAUCCCAUAUCCCGUGACCCAUCCGCCCGACCGGGGAUUGGAUUCAAAAUUUGAAAUCAAUCGGGGAGACGCAGCCGCAUCGUCGAAGACCACCACGCUCCCACAUCCCCUCUUCAACCUCGCGUAGAUCCGCAGAUUUCUUCACGAUUUGACCAAUGAAUCUUGGUAUGGAAUCAUUCACGGAACUUCUGUUCAGCUUCUGUUCCCAACCAGCACAGCCCGAGGUUGUUCCAGAUUUGGGAUUGCCAGAGGAGGACGAGUGCAUUCCUCCAAAUUCGCAGUCCUCGAGCCAAGAUGGAGAAGAAUUUGGAACAGCCGAUUCAAGAUCUCAUGUCUGUGAGGAACGGAUUUUCCCAACGCCAGAUUUUCCCGAUAUCGACCAUACAGACAGUCACAGCGAGCCAUUGUCUGAAUCGCAACGCACUCCCUCUUCGUGGCCUCAAAGGUAAAUUCUCAAUAUUUUCUCAUCGCCGUCGAAGCCGCAUCGAUUCAGUGAAGAAGGCAUUCUGUUUUCUACCGAGCAUGGUGGCUUGUUCAUGGCUUGUCAAAUGGGAUUUAGUCUUUGACUUGUGCAAUAUUUAAUAGACGUAUACAUUAAUGUUCCCAUUUAGGCCGGUUUCAUAUGUAUAAACAUUCAGUUUGGUAUCUGUAUCAUGGGUGUGGACGUGCUCAGUAGUCAGUUUUGGACAAAUCUUAAGUUAUUUGUAUUCAUAACC